AGAGUUUGAUCCUGGCUCAAAUUGAACGCUGGCGGCAGGCUUAACACAUGCAAGUCGAGCGGAAACGAUGAUAGCUUGCUAUCAGGCGUCGAGCGGCGGACGGGUGAGUAAUACUUAGGAAUCUACCUAGUAGUGGGGGAUAGCUCGGGGAAACUCGAAUUAAUACCGCAUACGACCUACGGGAGAAAGGGGGCAACUUGUUGCUCUCGCUAUUAGAUGAGCCUAAGUCGGAUUAGCUAGAUGGUGGGGUAAAGGCCUACCAUGGCGACGAUCUGUAGCUGGUCUGAGAGGAUGAUCAGCCACACCGGGACUGAGACACGGCCCGGACUCCUACGGGAGGCAGCAGUGGGGAAUAUUGGACAAUGGGGGCAACCCUGAUCCAGCCAUGCCGCGUGUGUGAAGAAGGCCUUUUGGUUGUAAAGCACUUUAAGCAGUGAAGAAGACUCCAUGGUUAAUACCCAUGGACGAUGACAUUAGCUGCAGAAUAAGCACCGGCUAACUCUGUGCCAGCAGCCGCGGUAAUACAGAGGGUGCAAGCGUUAAUCGGAAUUACUGGGCGUAAAGCGAGCGUAGGUGGCUUGAUAAGUCAGAUGUGAAAUCCCCGGGCUUAACCUGGGAACUGCAUCUGAUACUGUUAGGCUAGAAUAGGUGAGAGGAAGGUAGAAUUCCAGGUGUAGCGGUGAAAUGCGUAGAGAUCUGGAGGAAUACCGAUGGCGAAGGCAGCCUUCUGGCAUCAUAUUGACACUGAGGUUCGAAAGCGUGGGUAGCAAACAGGAUUAGAUACCCUGGUAGUCCACGCCGUAAACGAUGUCUACUAGUCGUUGGGUCCCUUGAGGACUUAGUGACGCAGCUAACGCAAUAAGUAGACCGGCCUGGGGAGUACGGCCCGCAAGGGUUAAAACUCAAAUGAAUUUGACG
rnacentral:rRNA from 1 species